rnacentral:ncRNA from 1 species
UAUCUUUGCAGCUGUGUUAAAAGAAACACGUACAUAAAAAUCAUUAAAAACAAUAUUGGAAUG